GCAGUGGAUACAAGGGUAUAAUAGGGAGGUGGAAAGUCAUUGUUUCUCCUUCUUUUCUAAUCAUUUACCAUUAUUCCUUUAAUGUUCUUAUCUGCCCUUCUCUGCUUCUUUUUCCCACUUCUUAAAAUCAUCCCAGUCUAUUCUACUCGCCUCGCCUUUCUUGGUUAAUCUCUCAAAGUCCUGUAACUUCUUUCUACAUUCUGCUAACAAAAUUUCACUUAAUGUGCCUUUCAAGGGAAAGUCUUCUACCUUGUGCCAGAGCGGUACCUGUUCCCGAAUGUUCCUGCCCCACUUAUCCACCAUUACCUUCACCUGGUCCAGUCUGCGGGUUGGGCCGACAGGGUUCUCCCCUGCUGCUCUUGGCUCCCAUUUGGAAACUCUAUCUAUACACACACACUCAAAAACAAACACACAAAACAAGCAAUAUUUAGUUAGGGACCUCAUUCUUUCUUCAAAUGAAAUAUGGGUUAACUCAAAAAUAAAUGCAUCAUAGGUUAACUCAAAAGGGUUUGUUUCUUCACCAUCAAAAUAUUUUGUCAUUUCUUUAUGUGAUUUAGAAUUCUGUACCCAUACAGUAUUUCCCCCUAUUUCCCCCUGUGUUUUAUCCCAAGUAUAACCAAUUCACCUACGGCUCCAUUGGUCAAAUUGCUCCUUCCAAAAUAAUGUGCUAACCUGCAGGAAUAGUUUCUUACUUCUAUCUCAGGACCCUGUCCUGGAAUCACAUAACUCAUGGAUUUACAUCUGACUUUUACAAACCAUGGCAUAUUAAUUCAUAUUAAUUUAGUACUUUGCCAAAUAAUGUGUUAUAAAGCAGGGUUUUCUCCACACACAGUAGAGCCCUACUUGUCACUAAGACAAGGUUUUCUCCACACACAGUAGAGCCCUCCUUGUCACUAAGACAAGGUUUUCUCCACACACAGUAGAGCCCUCCUUGUCACUAAGACAAGGUUUUCUCCACACACAGUAGAGCCCUACUUGUCACUAAGACAAGGUUUUCUCCACACACAGUAGAGCCCUACUUGUCACUAAGACAAGGUUUUCUCCACACACAGUAGAGCCCUCCUUGUCACUAAGACAAGGUUUUCUACACACACAGUAGAGCCCUCCUUGUCACUAAGACAAGGUUUUCUCCACACACAGUAGAGCCCUCCUUGUCACUAAGACAAGGUUUUCUCCACACACAGUAGAGCCCGCCUUGUCACUAAGACAAGGUUUUCUCCACACACAGUAGAGCCCGCCUUGUCACUAAGACAAGGUUUUCUUCACACACAGUAGAGCCCUCCUUGUCACUAAGACAAGGUUUUCUUCACACACAGUAGAGCCCGCCUUGUCACUAAGACAAGGUUUUCUCCACACACAGUAGAGCCCUCCUUGUCACUAAGACAAGGUUUUCUCCACACACAGUAGAGCCCGCCUUGUCACUAAGACAAGGUUUUCUUCACACACAGUAGAGCCCUCCUUGUCACUAAGACAAGGUUUUCUUCACACACAGUAGAGCCCGCCUUGUCACUAAGACAAGGUUUUCUUCACACACAGUAGAGCCCUCCUUGUCACUAAGACAAGGUUUUCUUCACACACAGUAGAGCCCGCCUUGUCACUAAGACAAGGUUUUCUCCACACACAGUAGAGCCCGCCUUGUCACUAAGACAAGGUUUUCUCCACACACAGUAGAGCCCUCCUUGUCACUAAGACAAGGUUUUCUCCACACACAGUAGAGCCCUCCUUGUCACUAAGACAAGGUUUUCUUCACACACAGUAGAGCCCUACUUGUCACUAAGACAAGGUUUUCUCCACACACAGUAGAGCCCUACUUGUCACUAAGACAAGGUUUUCUCCACACACAGUAGAGCCCUCCUUGUCACUAAGACAAGGUUUUCUUCAUACACAGUAGAGCCCUCCUUGUCACUAAGACAAGGUUUUCUCCACACACAGUAGAGCCCUCCUUGUCACUAAGACAAGGUUUUCUCCACACACAGUAGAGCCCUCCUUGUCACUAAGACAAGGUUUUCUCCACACACAGUAGAGCCCUCCUUGUCACUAAGACAAGGUUUUCUCCACACACAUUAGAGCCCUCCUUGUCACUAAGACAAGGUUUUCUCCACACACAGUAGAGCCCUACUUGUCACUAAGACAAGGUCUUCUUCACACACAGUGAA